rnacentral:rRNA from 1 species
AUACGGAGGGUGCGAGCGUUGUUCGGAAUUAUUGGGCGUAAAGAGCAUGUAGGCGGUCUGUUAAGUCUGGUGUGAAAGCCCGGGGCUCAACCCCGGAAGUGCAUUGGAUACUGGCAGACUUGAGUAUGGGAGAGGAAAGCGGAAUUCCGAGUGUAGGAGUGAAAUCCGUAGAUGUUCGGAGGAACACCAGUGGCGAAGGCGGCUUUCUGGACCAAUACUGACGCUGAGAUGCGAAAGCGUGGGGAGCGAACAGGAUUAGAAACCCCGGUAGUCC